GUGAAUCAUCAAAUCUUUGAACGCACAUUGCGCUCCCUGGUAUUCCGGAGAGUAUGCCUGUUUGAGGGUCAGUUUUAAUCUAAAUCGGUGCUGUUGCUUCCUUUUGUGGUGACGCCCCAGAUUUGGGUCGUCCUGCCUUCGGUUAAGUGACCUUAAUUUUUGCAUGAUUUUUUUCGAACGUUUUUAAUUUAUUUUACGUACGUUUGCGACAUUA
rnacentral:misc_RNA from 1 species